rnacentral:rRNA from 1 species
GUGACCUCAAAUCAGGUAGGAUUACCCGCUGAACUUAAGCAUAUCAAUAAGCGGAGGAAAAGAAACUAACAAGGAUUCCCCUAGUAACUGCGAGUGAAGCGGGAAAAGCUCAAAUUUAAAAUCUGGCGGUCUUUGGCUGUCCGAGUUGUAAUCUAGAGAAGUGCUAUCCGCGCUGGACCGUGCACAAGUCUCCUGGAAUGGAGCGUCAUAGAGGGUGAGAAUCCCGUCUUUGACACGGACUGCCAGGGCUUUGUGAUGCGCUCUCAAAGAGUCGAGUUGUUUGGGAAUGCAGCUCAAAAUGGGUGGUAAAUUCCAUCUAAAGCUAAAUAUUGGCGAGAGACCGAUAGCGAACAAGUACCGUGAGGGAAAGAUGAAAAGAACUUUGGAAAGAGAGUUAAACAGUACGUGAAAUUGCUGAAAGGGAAACGCUUGAAGUCAGUCGCGUCGUCCAGGGAUCAACCUCGCUGUUGCUUGGUGCACUUUCUGGUUGACGGGUCAGCAUCAAUUUUGACCAUUGGAAAAAGAUUAGGGGAAUGUGGCAUCUUAGGAUGUGUUAUAGCCCUUGGUUGCAUGCAAUGGUUGGGAUUGAGGAACUCAGCACGCCGCAAGGCCGGGUUUCAACCACGUACGUGCUUAGGAUGCUGGCAUA